UAGGGAAUCUUCGGCAAUGGGGGCAACCCUGACCGAGCAACGCCGCGUGAGUGAAGAAGGUUUUCGGAUCGUAAAGCUCUGUUGUAAGAGAAGAACGUGUGUGAGAGUGGAAAGUUCACACAGUGACGGUAACUUACCAGAAAGGGACGGCUAACUACGUGCCAGCAGCCGCGGUAAUACGUAGGUCCCGAGCGUUGUCCGGAUUUAUUGGGCGUAAAGCGAGCGCAGGCGGUUUAAUAAGUCUGAAGUUAAAGGCAGUGGCUUAACCAUUGUUCGCUUUGGAAACUGUUAAACUUGAGUGCAGAAGGGGAGAGUGGAAUUCCAUGUGUAGCGGUGAAAUGCGUAGCUAUAUGGAGGAACACCGGUGGCGAAAGCGGCUCUCUGGUCUGUAACUGACGCUGAGGCUCGAAAGCGUGGGGAGCAAACAGG
rnacentral:rRNA from 1 species